CAACUACUCCCUCUGUUCCAAAUUUCUUGUCUUAGAUUUGUCUAGAUACGGAUGUAUCUAAUACUAAAAUGUGACUUGAUACAUCCGUAUCUAGACCAAUCUAAGACAAAAAAUUUUGGACGGAGGGAGUACUUU
rnacentral:pre_miRNA from 1 species